CAACAGGAGAAAAAAUUUGCAUUGAGGGUGCCAGGAAGAGAAAGGGAAGAAGAAUGGUAAAAUGAAGACUAAAGCAACAACAAGAGUAAUCUCAGAGCAAUGAUAAUGAAAAAAGUGGGUUGUUUUUUUGUUUUUUUUUUCUUUGUUUUGGGUUUUUUGUUUGUUUGUUUUUUAAAGAAAGGUAGAAAGAAAGAGAGAAAGAAAGAAAAGGCAGGAGGAGAGGAGGGGAAUCACUUUGGGGUUAUCAAGGCAGCAUCUGAAGUUUUGUCCCUUCUCUGUUUUUUCUGGAAACUGCACAGAGAGCAAAUAGAUCUCCACAUCUAUCUGUCAAGAUCACUCCACAGGACUUCCUAGGCUGCAGUUUAACUAUGGAAGUCACUGGCCACCUCCCUGAGAACAGACUGAAGCCAAGAUAUCUGUCUGUGGAUGGGGAUUAGGAUCAUGCCUGGGGUUUGUCCAGGUCUAUGGAGAGAAAGGCAUAUAUGCUAAUCAUGAAGUCACGAGGAUGGCUGGAGAGGGGCUUGCAAAGACAAAAAAUUGCUCAGUUGUCUCACGUCAAAGAGCUCACUGCAUCAACCCAGAUGCUGGAGCAUGCAGUAACCACACAUACGCCGAAGCACUGUAUUUCUGCAUUAAGCAGCAAAUUUUAUGUUAUGACUGGCCACUGAACAAUGAAGUGAUCCAACUGUACAUUUCUCUUAAUCAUCACAAGUGCUUACUUUGUAUUAAAACAAAAUGCUUUCAGGGCUAGAUCACAACAGAGGAAUGAUUAAUCUUGUCAGAAUUCCUGCUUGCCCUGGCAACAAGUAGGCUCUGUGGUUUUGGCUAUAGCACAUCCUUGCUCUUCACUACACCAAGGGUAUCAUGUGUGCCCAUUUAAGGUUCAGCUUUGGCUCUCUCCCAGUUUCUUGGGAAUUUGUUUAGUUUUCUCUUUAGAGACCUCUUUCAUAUGCUACUUAAUAUCCAAGGGCAACCUGGAGGCAAAAAAGAGGUGCUGUCGUGAGAUAGUCUAACCAUCUACUAUCAUCAGCUGCAAAUGUCUUCUACAGCUUUUGUUGGUUAUUGAGUUAGUAUUUUUUAUUUGUGACUGUUAUGUAUGCCUGUAUGUUUCUGAGAUGUUUGUGUUUGCCUUAAUGCUCUCUUUUGAGAGUGAUAAUAGAGUACUUCCAGGCCUCUAUAAGAUUUGAUGUUUUCACUUUCUAUACAGUUCAUGUCAAAAACAACUCUUAACUGGAUCCUGCUGUCAUAUUAUAGAAUCAUUAAGGCUGGAAAAGACCUCUAAAAUUGUCAGGUCCAACCACCAACCCAUCCCCACCAUGCUCACUGACCAUGUCUGUCAUGGCCACAUCUCUAC
rnacentral:lncRNA from 1 species